rnacentral:rRNA from 1 species
UAAACNUNUUUCANUAGGGACGAAGCGCAAGUGNCGGUACCUAUAGAAGAAGGACCNGCCAANUACGUGCCAGCAGCCGCGNUAAUACGUAGGGUCCGAGCGUUNUCCGGAAUUACUGGGCGUAAAGAGNUCGUAGGUGGUUUGUCGCGUUNUUCGUGAAAACUCACAGCUUAACUGUGGGCGUGCGGGCGAUACGGGCAGACUAGAGUACUGCAGGGGAGACUGGAAUUCNUGGUGUAGCGGUGGAAUGCGCAGAUAUCAGGAGGAACACCGGUGGCGAAGGCGGGUCUCUGGGCAGUAACUGACGCUGAGGAGCGAAAGCGUGGGGAGCGAACAGGAUUAGAUACCCUGGUAGUCCACGCCGUAAACGGUGGGUACUAGGUGUGGGUUUCCUUCCUUGGGAUCCGUGCCGUAGCUAACGCAUUAAGUACCCCGCCUGGGGAGUACGGCCGCAAGGCUAAAACUCAAAGGAAUUGACGGGGGCCCGCACAAGCGGCGGAGCAUGUGGAUUAAUUCGAUGCAACGCGAAGAACCUUACCUGGGUUUGACAUGCACAGGACGCCAGUAGAGAUAUUGGUUCCCUUGUGGCCUGUGUGCAGGUGGUGCAUGGCUGUCGUCAGCUCGUGUCGUGAGAUGUUGGGUUAAGUCCCGCAACGAGCGCAACCCUUGUCUCAUGUUGCCAGCACGUUAUGGUGGGGACUCGUGAGAGACUGCCGGGGUCAACUCGGAGGAAGGUGGGGAUGACGUCAAGUCAUCAUGCCCCUUAUGUCCAGGGCUUCACACAUGCUACAAUGGCCGGUACAAAGGGCUGCGAUGCCGUGAGGUGGAGCGAAUCCUUUCAAAGCCGGUCUCAGUUCGGAUCGGGGUCUGCAACUCGACCCCGUGAAGUCGGAGUCGCUAGUAAUCGCAGAUCAGCAACGCUGCGGUGAAUACGUUCCCGGGCCUUGUACACACCGCCCGUCACGUCAUGAAAGUCGGUAACACCCGAAGCCGGUGGCCUAACCCUUG